rfam:Marchantia polymorpha subsp. polymorpha scaffold3174, whole genome shotgun sequence.
CGCGUUUUUCGCCCAGGCGGAGCUCGACCGCAAACUUCGCUGAUCUGUGAGUACGUUGGCGGUCACCGUGACCGUUUCGGAGUCGAGCCGAUUUGCGCCGUCCUGAGCGAGUACGGGGUGCAGAUCGCUCC